UACAGAGGUCCCAAGCGUUGUCCGGAUUUACUGGGCGUAAAGAGCGCGCAGGCGGUCGUUCAAGUCGCGUGUGAAAGCCCCCGGCUCAACUGGGGAGGGUCACGCGAUACUGAUCGACUCGAAGGCAGGAGAGGGAAGUGGAAUUCCCGGUGUAGUGGUGAAAUGCGUAGAUAUCGGGAGGAACACCAGUGGCGAAGGCGACUUCCUGGCCUGUUCUUGACGUUGAGGCGCGAAAGCUAGGGGAGCAAACGGG
rnacentral:rRNA from 1 species